rnacentral:rRNA from 1 species
AUUUAAAGAAAGCGUAAUAGCUCACUGGUCGAGUCGGCCCGCGCGGAAGAUGUAACGGGGCUAAACCAUGCACCGAAGCUGCGGCAGCGAACGUAUCASUUAAAUUUGUUUAAGUGAGAAACGAUUGACGGAACGAAGGAGACUGUCAAUGCGUCCAUAAAAGUCGAGGCGAAAGUCCGAUAAGCGAAUUUAAGGAUACGUUCGUUGGGUAGGGGAGCGUUCUGUAAGCCUGCGAAGGUGUACUGUGAGGUAUGCUGGAGGUAUCASAAGUGCNAAUGCUGACAUAAGUAACGAUAAUGCGGGUGAAAAACCCGCACGCCGAAGACCAAGGGUUCCUGUCCAACGUUAAUCGGGGCAGGGKGAGUCGACCCCUAAGGCGAGGCUGAAAAGCGUAGUSGAUGGGAAACGGGUUAAUAUUCCCGUACUGGUGGUAACUGCGAUGGGGGAACGNAGAAGGCUAGGUUGUCCGGGCGACGGUCGUCCCGGUUCAAGCAUGUAGGCAGAGUGAUUAGGCAAAUCCGGUCACUUAAUGCUGAGGUGUGAUGACGAGCCACUAAGGUGGUGAAGCAAUUGAUGCCCUGCUUCCAGGAAAAGCCUCUAAGCUUCAGGUUACCAACAAUCGUACCCCAAACCGACACAGGUGGUCAGGUAGAGAAUACUCAGGCGCUUGAGAGAACUCGGGUGAAGGAACUAGGCAAAAUGGUGCCGUAACUUCGGGAGAAGGCACGCUGGCGGUAAGUGAAGUCCCUUGCGGACGGAGCCGAAGCCAGUCGAAGAUACCAGCUGGCUGCAACUGUUUAUUAAAAACACAGCACUGUGCAAACACGAAAGUGGACGUAUACGGUGUGACGCCUGCCCGGUGCUGGAAGGUUAAUUGAUGGGGUUAUCCUUAGGGAGAAGCUCUUGAUCGAAGCCCCAGUAAACGGCG